rnacentral:rRNA from 1 species
GUCGAGCGAACAGAUAAGGAGCUUGCUCCUUUGACGUUAGCGGCGGACGGGUGAGUAACACGUGGGUAACCUACCUAUAAGACUGGGAUAACUUCGGGAAACCGGAGCUAAUACCGGAUAACAUUUGGAACCGCAUGGUUCUAAAGUGAAAGAUGGUUUUGCUAUCACUUAUAGAUGGACCCGCGCCGUAUUAGCUAGUUGGUAAGGUAACGGCUUACCAAGGCGACGAUACGUAGCCGACCUGAGAGGGUGAUCGGCCACACUGGAACUGAGACACGGUCCAGACUCCUACGGGAGGCAGCAGUAGGGAAUCUUCCGCAAUGGGCGAAAGCCUGACGGAGCAACGCCGCGUGAGUGAUGAAGGGUUUCGGCUCGUAAAACUCUGUUAUUAGGGAAGAACAAAUGUGUAAGUAACUGUGCACGUCUUGACGGUACCUAAUCAGAAAGCCACGGCUAACUACGUGCCAGCAGCCGCGGUAAUACGUAGGUGGCAAGCGUUAUCCGGAAUUAUUGGGCGUAAAGCGCGCGUAGGCGGUUUCUUAAGUCUGAUGUGAAAGCCCACGGCUCAACCGUGGAGGGUCAUUGGAAACUGGGAAACUUGAGUGCAGAAGAGGAAAGUGGAAUUCCAUGUGUAGCGGUGAAAUGCGCAGAGAUAUGGAGGAACACCAGUGGCGAAGGCGACUUUCUGGUCUGUAACUGACGCUGAUGUGCGAAAGCGUGGGGAUCAAACAGGAUUAGAUACCCUGGUAGUCCACGCCGUAAACGAUGAGUGCUAAGUGUUAGGGGGUUUCCGCCCCUUAGUGCUGCAGCUAACGCAUUAAGCACUCCGCCUGGGGAGUACGACCGCAAGGUUGAAACUCAAAGGAAUUGACGGGGACCCGCACAAGCGGUGGAGCAUGUGGUUUAAUUCGAAGCAACGCGAAGAACCUUACCAAAUCUUGACAUCCUUUGAAAACUCUAGAGAUAGAGCUUUCCCCUUCGGGGGACAAAGUGACAGGUGGUGCAUGGUUGUCGUCAGCUCGUGUCGUGAGAUGUUGGGUUAAGUCCCGCAACGAGCGCAACCCUUAAGCUUAGUUGCCAUCAUUAAGUUGGGCACUCUAGGUUGACUGCCGGUGACAAACCGGAGGAAGGUGGGGAUGACGUCAAAUCAUCAUGCCCCUUAUGAUUUGGGCUACACACGUGCUACAAUGGACAAUACAAAGGGCAGCUAAACCGCGAGGUCAUGCAAAUCCCAUAAAGUUGUUCUCAGUUCGGAUUGUAGUCUGCAACUCGACUACAUGAAGCUGGAAUCGCUAGUAAUCGUAGAUCAGCAUGCUACGGUGAAUACGUUCCCGGGUCUUGUACACACCGCCCGUCACACCACGAGAGUUUGUAACACCCGAAGCCGGUGGAGUAACCAUUUAUGGAG